UACGUAGGGUGCAAGCGUUGUCCGGAAUUAUUGGGCGUAAAGAGCUCGUAGGCGGUUCGUCGCGUCGGCUGUGAAAUCCCGAGGCUCAACCUCGGGUCUGCAGUCGAUACGGGCGGACUGGAGUUCGGCAGGGGAGACUGGAAUUCCUGGUGUAGCGGUGAAAUGCGCAGAUAUCAGGAGGAACACCGGUGGCGAAGGCGGCUCACUGGCCCGAUACUGACGCUGAGGCACGAAAGCGUGGGGAGCAAACAGG
rnacentral:rRNA from 1 species